GCUUUGAGUGUUUAGCCUUGACGUUAUGCUAAUUACUCAGGAAGAAGUUUGAGAUUUUGGUCGGUGCCCCACCCCCCCACCCCCCCGCCCCUCAAUCCUUACUCUGAGCUGAGGGGGCAGAGCGCAGUCGGCCAACUGGGCCAUGUCCUCCUGGAGUUGGCAGCUAAGAGGCUCCAGACUGAGAACCUUGACGCAGAUCCCCGGCUUGUUGGACACUG